rnacentral:rRNA from 1 species
AUUGAACGCUGGCGGCAGGCCUAACACAUGCAAGUCGAACGAGUGGCGGACGGGUGAGUAAUGUCUGGGAAACUGCCUGAUGGAGGGGGAUAACUACUGGAACCGGUAGCUAAUACCGCAUACCAUCAGAUGUGCCCAGAUGGGAUUAGCUAGUCGGUGGGGUAAAGGCUCACCUGGGCGACGAUCCCUAGCUGGUCUGAGAGGAUGACCAGCCACACUGGAACUGAGACACGGUCCAUACUCCUAAGGGAGGGAGCAGUGGGGAAUAGUGCACAAUGGGCGCAAGCAUGAUGCAGCCAUGCGGCGUGUAUGAAGAAGGCCUUCGGGUUGUAAAGUACUUUCAGCGGGGAGGCGUUACCCGCAGAAGAAGCACCGGCUAACUCCGUGCCAGCAGCCGCGGUAAUUC